GGGUGAGUAACACGUGGGCAAUCUGCCCUUCACUCUGGGACAAGCCCUGGAAACGGGGUCUAAUACCGGAUACUGACCCUCGCAGGCAUCUGCGAGGUUCGAAAGCUCCGGCGGUGAAGGAUGAGCCCGCGGCCUAUCAGCUUGUUGGUGAGGUAAUGGCUCACCAAGGCGACGACGGGUAGCCGGCCUGAGAGGGCGACCGGCCACACUGGGACUGAGACACGGCCCAGACUCCUACGGGAGGCAGCAGUGGGGAAUAUUGCACAAUGGGCGAAAGCCUGAUGCAGCGACGCCGCGUGAGGGAUGACGGCCUUCGGGUUGUAAACCUCUUUCAGCAGGGAAGAAGCGAAAGUGACGGUACCUGCAGAAGAAGCGCCGGCUAACUACGUGCCAGCAGCCGCGGUAAUACGUAGGGCGCAAGCGUUGUCCGGAAUUAUUGGGCGUAAAGAGCUCGUAGGCGGCUUGUCACGUCGGUUGUGAAAGCCCGGGGCUUAACCCCGGGUCUGCAGUCGAUACGGGCAGGCUAGAGUUCGGUAGGGGAGAUCGGAAUUCCUGGUGUAGCGGUGAAAUGCGCAGAUAUCAGGAGGAAC
rnacentral:rRNA from 1 species